GCUUUCCUGUGGCUCAAUUGGUAGAGCAUUGUGCUAACAACACAAAGGUCAUUGGUUCAAGUCCCAGGGAAUGCA
rnacentral:tRNA from 1 species